GACGAACGCUGGCGGCGUGCCUAAUACAUGCAAGUUGAGCGCUGAAGGUUGGUACUUGUACCGACUGGAUGAGCAACGAACGGGUGAGUAACGCGUGGGGAAUCUGCCUUUGAGCGGGGGACAACAUUUGGAAACGAAUGCUAAUACCGCAUAAAAACUUUAAUCACAAGUUUUAAGUUUGAAAGAUGCAAUUGCAUCACUCAAAGAUGAUCCCGCGUUGUAUUAGCUAGUUGGUGAGGUAAAGGCUCACCAAGGCGAUGAUACAUAGCCGACCUGAGAGGGUGAUCGGCCACAUUGGGACUGAGACACGGCCCAAACUCCUACGGGAGGCAGCAGUAGGGAAUCUUCGGCAAUGGACGAAAGUCUGACCGAGCAACGCCGCGUGAGUGAAGAAGGUUUUCGGAUCGUAAAACUCUGUUGGUAGAGAAGAACGUUUGUGAGAGUGGAAAGCUCAUCAAGUGACGGUAACUACCCAGAAAGGGACGGCUAACUACGUGCCAGCCGCCGCUGUAA
rnacentral:rRNA from 1 species